rnacentral:rRNA from 1 species
AAUCAACGCUGGCGGCGCGCUUAACACAUGCAAGUCGCACGAGAAAGGGAGCAAUCCCUGAGUACAGUGGCGUACGGGUGAGUAACACGUGGGUAAUCUACCUCUUAGUGGGGGAUAUCUCUGGGAAACCGGAGUUAAUACCGCAUAAGUUCGGAAGAAGAAAGCGAGCAAUCGCGCUGAGAGAGGAGCCCGCGGCCGAUUAGCUAGUUGGUGGGGUAAAGCUCACCAAGGCAGAGAUCGGUAGCCGGCCUGAGAGGGCACACGGCCACACUGGCACUGAAACACGGGCCAGACUCCUACGGGAGGCAGCAGGUGGGGAAUCUUGCACAAGUGGGGGAAACCCUGACGCAGCAACGCCGCGUGGAGGAUGAAGUCCCUUGGGACGUAAACUCC